GGGAGGUUGGCCGAGUGGUUUAAGGCGUCAGAUUUAGGUGAGUUGAAACACUUAAAGCUUAAAUUCUCUGAUAUCUUCGGAUGCAAGGGUUCGAAUCCCUUAUCUCUCA
rfam:Candida glabrata strain CBS138 chromosome C complete sequence.